CCUACGGGCGGCUGCAGUGAGGAAUAUUGGUCAAUGGGCGCGAGCCUGAACCAGCCAAGUCGCGUGAGGGAUGACGGUCCUACGGAUUGUAAACCUCUUUUGCCGGGGAGCAAGCGUGCGUUCGUGAACGCACGUCGAGAGUACCCGGAGAAAAAGCAUCGGCUAACUCCGUGCCAGCAGCCGCGGUAAUACGGAGGAUGCGAGCGUUAUCCGGAUUUAUUGGGUUUAAAGGGAGCGUAGGUGGAUUGUUAAGUCAGUUGUGAAAGUUUGCGGCUCAACCGUAAAAUUGCAGUUGAAACUGGCAGUCUUGAGUACAGUAGAGGUGGGCGGAAUUCGUGGUGUAGCGGUGAAAUGCUUAGAUAUCACGAAGAACUCCGAUUGCGAAGGCAGCUCACUGGACUGCAACUGACACUGAGGCUCGAAAGUGUGGGUAUCAAACAGGAUUAGAUACCCUGGUAGUC
rnacentral:rRNA from 1 species